AGGUGGCAAUUCUAUGUCAGUUCCUCAGAGAAAUCGACUACAAAACAGCCUUUAAAUCUUUGCAGGAACAAAACAGUCAUGAUGCUAUGGAUUCCUACUAUGACUACAUUUGGGAUGUCACCAUCUUGGAAUACUUGACUUAUCUUCAUCAUAAAAGAGGAGAAACAGACAAAAGACAAAUUGCUGUAAGUUACC